UCGGUCCCUGAGUACAGUGGCGCACGGGUGAGUAACACGUGACUUAUCUACCCUCGAGUGGGGAAUAACUUCGGGAAACCGAGGCUAAUACCGCAUAAUACCCACGGGUCAAAGGAGCAAUUCGCUUGAGGAGGAGGUCGCGGCCGAUUAGUUAGUUGGCGGGGUAAUGGCCCCACCCAAGACGGUGAUCGGUAUCCGGCCUGAGAGGGCGCACGGACACACUGGAACUGAAACACGGUCCAGACUCCUACGGGAGGCAGCAGUGGGGAAUUUUGCGCAAUGGGGGAAACCCUGACGCAGCAACGCCGCGUGGAGGAUGAAGUCUCUUGGGACGUAAACUCCUUUCGAUCGGGACGAUUAUGACGGUACCGGAAGAAGAAGCCCCGGCUAACUUCGUG
rnacentral:rRNA from 1 species